UACGGGGGGGGCAAGCGUUGUUCGGAAUUACUGGGCGUAAAGGGCUCGUAGGCGGCCAACUAAGUCAGACGUGAAAUCCCUCGGCUUAACCGAGGAACUGCGUCUGAUACUGGAUGGCUUGAGUGCGAAAGAGGGUCGCGGAAUUCCCGGUGUAGAGGUGAAAUUCGUAGAUAUCGAGAGGAACACCGGUGGCGAAGGCGGCCAACUGGACAGAUACUGACGCUGAGGUACGAAAGCGUGGGGAGCAAACAGG
rnacentral:rRNA from 1 species